UUAGCAACUUCCUUCUCCUAUUAUCAAGUUUAUUAAAUUUUUAUUUUAGAAAAAGUUGGACAUCAAUUUCUAACUCUUGUAAUUGGUUAAUUAGGAUAAUAGUAAGUUGACUUUACAUACUGUAAGACAUUAUAAAUAGAGGAGUUACGUUGUGAAUGAAAAGCAAUCAAACAAAAAUUGUUUAACUACUUCUCCAAGUAAAAUUAAGCUCGCUAAUUAUAAGAGAUUAAGUUGUUGUUUGAUUAUCGAUCAAGAUGGCUUUCCCAAAGAAUGUGAAACAACUAAUUUUUGUGCUACUACUCGUUAUCAUGGCAUCUAAUUUCGCAUCAGGGCAGCAACAGUGGUGCACCUUACAAGGUUAUCAAUGUGGUAAGGAUUUUGAUCCAUGUUGUGACGGACUAUGGUGUAGCGCGGUAAUUGUUGGUACUUGUUGUAGUAGUGGUUUUCUUGGGUGGCCGCUAUGCGGUCGCUAGUCAAUGAAUUAAGUCACGAGCGUUUCCAAUUGUCGGGAUUAUUGAUAUAUCAACAAACGGAUGGAUGGAUGGAUGAAUGAAGGUGUUGUAUUUUUGUAUUGAUUUCUUGUUUUUCUUAUAUUUUCCUGUAUUAUUGAUUUAUUGUCAUUCGUUAAUAACGUACUCGUAUCAUGUAUUUCUGUUUCUUAUUGAUGGUAAUAUGGCACCAUGGGCCUUUCUUUUGAGCUCAUUUAUGAAUAUAUGUUUGUAUGUCAUUCUCCCAUUGAA